rnacentral:tRNA from 3 species
UAGCGCAUAACUCAAUUGGUUAGAGUGCUACUUUGAUAAAGUUUUGGUUAUAGGUUCGAGUCCUAUUGUGCUAA